UAGGGAAUCUUCGGCAAUGGGGGUAACCCUGACCGAGCAACGCCGCGUGAGUGAAGAAGGUUUUCGGUUCUUAAAGCUCUUUCGUUAAGGAAGAACGAGUGUGAGAAUGGAAAGUUCAUACUGUGACGGUACUUAACCAGAAAGGGACGGCUAACUACGUGCCAGCAGCCGCGGUCAUACGUAGGUCCCGAGCGUAGUCCGGAGUUAUUGGGCGUAAAGCGAGCGCAGGCGGUUUGAUAAGUCUGGAGUUAAAGGCAGUGGCUCAACCAUAGUAGGCUUGGGGAACUGUUUAAGCUGAAGGCAGGUGGGGAGAGGAGAAUUCCCUGUGGUGGGGUGAAAUGGGUUGGUAUAUGGAGGAACACCGGUGGCGAAAGGGGAUCUCUGAUCUGUAACUGAACCUGAGGCUAGAAAGCGUGGGGAGGGAACAGG
rnacentral:rRNA from 1 species